rnacentral:rRNA from 1 species
CCUACGGGAGGCAGCAGUGGGGAAUAUUGCACAAUGGGGGAAACCCUGAUGCAGCGAAGCCGCGUGAGUGAAGAAGUAUCUCGGUAUGUAAAGCCCUAUCAGCAGGGAAGAAAAUGACGGUACCCGCUUAAGAAGCCCAGUCUAACUACGUGCAAGCAGCCGCGGUUCUACGUAGGGGGCAAGCGUUAUACGGAUUACCUGGGUGUAACGGGCGCGUAGACGGGGAUGAAAGUCAGAAGUGAAAGCCCGGGGCGCAACUCCGGGACUGCUUUUGAAACUGUGUAACUGGAGUGCAGGAGAGGUAUGCGGAAUUCCUGGUGUAGCGGUGAAAUGCGUAGAUAUCAGGAGGAACACCAGUUGCGAAGGCGGCUUACUGGACCGUAACUGACGUUGAGGCUCGAAAGCGUGGGGAGCAAACAGGAUUAGAUACCCCAGUAGUC